AUUAAAGCGUUGAGUGGAAUCGAUGAAUGGUCGUGUCUUGAAGCGAGUCCGGGAUGAUGGGAACCGGAUAGACAUCCAUUGAUCACACAUCCACGAGUGGACGAUUGAACGAAGUAGGUCGUCUCGGUUGGGCUCGUUAUCGCCGUGGUUGAGAUAACUACAUGAGGUUAGCUGUGUGAGCAGUUAACAAAUCUGAGGUGGAACCGCGGUAAAAGCCGUCCUCUUA
rnacentral:ncRNA from 1 species